UACGUAGGGGGCAAGCGUUGUCCGGAAUCAUUGGGCGUAAAGCGCGUGUAGGCGGCUCGGUAAGUCUGCUGUGAAAGUCCAGGGCUCAACCCGUGGGAUGCCGGUGGAUACUGUCGAGCUCGAGUCCGGAAGAGGCGAGUGGAAUUCCUGGUGUAGCGGUGAAAUGCGCAGAUAUCAGGAGGAACACCAAUGGCGAAGGCAGCUCGCUGGGACGUGACUGACGCUGAGACGCGAAAGCGUGGGGAGCAAACAGG
rnacentral:rRNA from 1 species